rnacentral:lncRNA from 1 species
UGUAUAAUUAAUAAAGUUAUAAGGUAGAAAAAGUAUGCACACCAAAUUUGUAUUUUUUUUCUUGAACAAACGAUAUUAUCUACAAUAAGAGAUGGGGGUGAACUAAGCUGCACAAUGAGCCAAGAAUAAUGUGGUUCAAAUUCACUUUUGGUGAUUGACACACCCCGAUCCAGAGGAUCCAGGUGUGCUGGCCGUCACGUGGGUGUGACGUAACCAUAGGUGCGACACGGAAGUGAAACAACCACAAAAGUAAGCAGGAAUUCAAACCAAACUCAAACAUAUCAACCUACGAACAUAACCGGACGAGUUAUAAGGUAAACACAUGAGUUCAGAGCAUAGGUUAAUUGCAGUCAAGUAGGACUAAAAUAAAGAUACAUCACCCUAAGGUGAGUCCUACAUGUCGAGAGUCUGUCAGAAAGCCGGAAUAAGACCUCGAGAGCCACCAACCGCUAAACUAGAACCUGGAGGGGCGCAAAACAAAAUGAGUGGGUCAGUAAAAUCAAAUAGUUUUCCAAAACAGUUCAUUAAAAACAAUUUUAUCCCCUCGCCGUAAAACCUGUAUACUUUCCCAGAAAAUAGUAUAUAUACAUAUAUAUAUAUACGCAACAUCAUAACUCAGCAUAAAACCAUCAUCAUAAUAUCUCAGAAAUGAUAUGCCAUGCCCAAACUAUAAUCAGAAUGCAUCAAUAAUAGUCAGGUGAAUAAUAAAUCAACCGGAGACCCUAUAAUGGUCCUGUACGGCUGAUUCUAAAGCUCAACAUCCAAACCAACCGGAGUCACCUCGGUGACCUGUACGGUUCAACUCUGCACGUCACUCGGAACUACAUAUAGUAGUCUGUACGAUGACAGGUGUAUGAAUACGCUCUAGUGCUUCUCACAUCAAUCAUCAGCGCGCAUAACUAAGGUCACCCACUAGUUGGAAUCACAUCUAGUGAUCUGUACAACUAGCAUGUCGGAACCCUCACUUGGUCUGUACGACAUCCACUUACUUGGAUCCAAGACGAGCGUGCGUUGUGGUGAAUAAUAAUAUAAGCACUAUCACCUAGGUGCAGGUUAUGAGUUUUCAAUGCAAUUCAAUAUAAAUAACUUAGCUGGAAAAUAAAUAAACUCACCUGAGCGUCCAUCGCGUCAUUUCACAUAUAUAUGCAUCAAUACUCAAGCUAGAUAUCUAACUUAGCUGGAAAAUAAAUAAACUCACCUGAGCGUCCAUCGCGUCAUUUCACAUAUAUAUGCAUCAAUACUCAAGCUAGAUAUCUCAAUAAUUUCAUGCAUGGCAAUUAAUUUCAUAACUUUCAUAAAAACGUAUUUUCUGGGAAAAUAAAUGUAUAUAGGUAAAUACGAAAUCAAAAUUGCCCACUCACUGAUAAGUCGACGGGUCGUAACCCCCGUG